AUUGAACGCUGGCGGCAGGCCUAACACAUGCAAGUCGAACGGAGUGGCGGACGGGUGAGUAAUGUGUGGGAAACUGCCUGAUGGGGGGGGAUCACUACUGGACACGGUCUCUAAUACCGCAUACUAUCAGAUGAGCCUAGGUCGGAUUAGCUGGUGGGGGGGGUAAAGGCCUACCAAGGCGACGAUCCGUAACUGGUCUGAGGGGAUGAUCGCUCACACUGGAACGGAGACACGGUCCGAACUCCUACGGGGGGCAGCAGUGGGGAAUAUUGGACAAUGGGCGAAAGCCGAAUGCAGCCAGGCCGCUGGUGUGAAGAAGGUCUUCGGAUGGUAAAGCACUUUAAGUUGGGAGGCGUUACCAACAGAAAAAGCACCGGCUAACUUCGUGCCAGCAGCCGCGGUAAUAC
rnacentral:rRNA from 1 species